rnacentral:rRNA from 1 species
UACGAAGGGGGCUAGCGUUGCUCGGAAUCACUGGGCGUAAAGGGUGCGUAGGCGGACAUUUAAGUCAGGGGUGAAAUCCCGGAGCUCAACUCCGGAACUGCCUUUGAUACUGGGUGUCUUGAGUGUGGAAGAGGUGAGUGGAAUUCCGAGUGUAGAGGUGAAAUUCGUAGAUAUUCGGAGGAACACCAGUGGCGAAGGCGGCUCACUGGUCCAUUACUGACGCUGAGGUGCGAAAGCGUGGGGAGCAAACAGG